GUCCUACGGGGGGCAGCAGUGAGGAAUAUUGGUCAAUGGACGCAAGUCUGAACCAGCCAAGUAGCGUGCAGGAUGACGGCCCUCCGGGUUGUAAACUGCUUUUAGUUGGGAAUAAAAGGGGGCUCGUGAGCCCCGUAUUGUAUGUACCAUCAGAAAAAGGACCGGCUAAUUCCGUGCCAGCAGCCGCGGUAAUACGGAAGGUCCGGGCGUUAUCCGGAUUUAUUGGGUUUAAAGGGAGCGUAGGCGGACUUUUAAGUGAGAUGUGAAAUACUCGGGCUCAACUUGAGUGCUGCAUUUCAAACUGG
rnacentral:rRNA from 1 species